GCGGACGUGGUGCAUGGUGCACAGCUGUAGCAUAUAAUUGUAAUGCGUCAGAUUGAAUAUUGAAGCAGUUGACUGGGUUCGAUCCCCGGUGUCCGCA